GAGCAUAUAUGAGACGUUCUCUAGUUUGAGUGAGCUUGUCUGUAUACAAAGGUCUACUAAUCUUUGAGUCAAUUAGGCUAAAUACCUUUGGUGUCCAACAAUCCGAAGGAAGCAUGAAUUUGAACCCAUACAUGGAUGUACCUUCCAUCUUCACCAAAUAGGAAACAACUUUACAUGCGCUUCAAGAAUAACAAAAUAUCAAAGGCAAAGUAGGGUCCCUCAGGUAGAAUAGGAUCUCUAUCCUCCGCCGUGUCAAAUUUAUAAACAACCCGACCACUCUUUAUUUUUUCCCGCCUCUUUCCCAAAACCCUUCUCGUGCGCGCCCCAACUCGUCGCCCUCUUCACCGCCUCCCUCCUCCCCGCCUCAACUUUCGGCCUCGCCGCCUCGACUUUCAGCCAUCUUUGCUGCCUCCUCCUCACCGAUGAGCAAUAGUUGUGACUGGAUCUGGAGGAGUUGAGGCACCUGCAGAGCAUCGCCAAGAGGCCUCAAGUUGCCUCCCUUCUCGUCUCUGAGAUUCGUAACCUCGAAGCCAAGUUGUCUGUGAUGACUGCGACGACAACAGGGGUAAGGCUUCUGUAGAGAAGGCAUUGGUAGCUGCUGCCUCUUUGAAGAGUUAUGUUACCCUGUCAUCGUUCAGCUGGGAUCAAGACCAUGAUAAGAUG